rnacentral:lncRNA from 1 species
CAUUUCUCAACAACUAUUUUUUAGAUCUCUCGAGGAGAAAUCACUGUAGACAACGAAAAGACACUUGCCUGCUGUGCUCAUUAUUAUACAUAUAUGAACUGAAUUGGACGACUGAACCACCCUAUUUAGUAUUCGGUAGCUAGCUAUACAUGAUUAUUAUGCCUGCUUUUAAGUUUACUAAUUGAUGCGGCUGUAGCCCACAAAGACCUAAUCCUUUUACGCCCUUUCCUUUUCCUCUGGUCUCUGAAAAAAUCAAGGAGCACUAAUCAAUAAUAUCCAGAGUCCUGUAUAUCUUUCGCCAUCAAUAUAUCUUUUGGUUAUUGCCCAAGCAAACUCAUGGCAGAGACCCUCUCGCAAGAAUUACUCAGGUACCAAUCUGAAAGCAACGACUUGAGCUAGGAUGGAGACCUUGCUUGGUAGAGGGGGGGUUGGAGCAUGAAUUCUAAAGGCAUGACAAGUGCAAAUAUCACAAGGUAGGACCUAACAUGAGAUGUGUUCUUUCAUCUUAACAUGCCAUUUUAGCAGACAUUGAAGGUUACCUGUCAUCCUUCUUCUCUGGGAUUACAUUUCCUCUACGUGUUCUUCUCAUCCUUUUAUAUUCAUCACGCUCCGGCCGGCGACGAUAUGAGUGUGUGUGUGUGUGUAUAUAUAUAGACACAUAAUCAUCAAGGUUUUCACGACUAGCUAGUUCACAUAUCGCAGCAUAACAAAAAUAUUGGGAGGGAGCUCCAGAUAUUUAUUUUCACGCGCAUCACA